AUUCUACCGUCACAAUAUUUUUUACUAUAUUGAUUUUAACCUUGACUUUCUUUAUGCAGGUUUUCAUAUUAUUAUUCUACUGUCACAAUAUUUUUUACUAUAUUGAUUUUAACCUUGACUUUCUUUAUACAGGUUUUCAUAUCAUCAUCUUACUGUCACAAUAUUUUUACUAUACUGAUAUUAGCCUUGACUUUCUUUAUGCAGGUUUACAUAUUAUCAUCCUACUGUCAUUUUUUUAUCUCUGAAUGUUUUUUUUUU